AGAGUUUGAUCCUGGCUCAGGAUGAACGCUGGCGGCGUGCCUAACACAUGCAAGUCGAGCGAUUCUCUUCGGAGAAGAGCGGCGGACGGGUGAGUAACGCGUGGGUAACCUGCCCUGUACACACGGAUAACAUACCGAAAGGUAUGCUAAUACGGGAUAACAUAUUUUGAUGGCAUCAUCGAAAUAUCAAAGCUCCGGCGGUACAGGAUGGACCCGCGUCUGAUUAGCUAGUUGGUGAGGUAAUGGCUCACCAAGGCGACGAUCAGUAGCCGACCUGAGAGGGUGAUCGGCCACAUUGGAACUGAGACACGGUCCAAACUCCUACGGGAGGCAGCAGUGGGGAAUAUUGCACAAUGGGCGAAAGCCUGAUGCAGCAACGCCGCGUGCGCGAUGAAGGCCUUCGGGUCGUAAAGCUCUGUCCUCAAGGAAGAUAAUGACGGUACUUGAGGAGGAAGCCCCGGCUAACUACGUGCCAGCAGCCGCGGUAAUACGUAGGGGGCUAGCGUUAUCCGGAAUUACUGGGCGUAAAGGGUGCGUAGGUGGUUUUUUAAGUCAGAAGUGAAAGGCUACGGCUCAACCGUAGUAAGCUUUUGAAACUGAGAAACUUGAGUGCAGGAGAGGAGAGUAGAAUUCCUAGUGUAGCGGUGAAAUGCGUAGAUAUUAGGAGGAAUACCAGUUGCGAAGGCGGCUCUCUGGACUGUAACUGACACUGAGGCACGAAAGCGUGGGGAGCAAACAGGAUUAGAUACCCUGGUAGUCCACGCCGUAAACGAUGAGUACUAGGUGUCGGGGGUUACCCCCUCGGUGCCGCAGCUAACGCAUUAAGUACUCCGCCUGGGAAGUACGCUCGCAGAGUGAAACUCAAGGAAUUGACGG
rnacentral:rRNA from 1 species